UAGACUUACACUUUUUAUCUUUAUUACAUGAAUGUGAUAAUACACUUAUUUCUAGGUGUAUUUAUUUUAACCAGCCUUUAAGCUUGGAAAGAAAUUUAUCUUUCAUAUUCCAAGUUGUGUGUGUACACGUACACUCUGAGCCCUUCAUGGGUGCAGAACGUUGUUCUGAGCUUUGUUUGUGUUAUCUCAUUUGAUCUUCAAAGAACCCUUGUGAAUUAGAUAUUAUAAUUAUCACUGUUGAUUGGAUGAAAAAACUGAGGCAUAGAGCAGUUUACACUUAACUCCCCUUCCCACCUCCAGUUCUAGGCCACCAACAUUCUAAUUUAUGUCUUUAAAUUUUUAGCCUUUUCUGGACAUUUCCUAUAAAUGGAACCAUAAAAUAUGUAGCCUUUUGCCUGUCUACUUCAUUCACUAUGUUUUUGAGGCAUCAUCUGUUUUGUAGCAUGUAUUAAUAUAUUGUUCCUUUUUAUUACUAUAGAGCAUUUACAGUUAGUUUUUAACAAAAUUGGUUACAGAACCCUCAUCUGAUAACAAAUAUGAUCAAGGCAUUGGGUGUCAGGCUUCUUUAUAUCCUGUAUGCCUUGUAUUUGCUACUUGAUUUCUCCCCAAAUCCAAGACCACACACAGAACAAUUGUCUUUUUGAAACCUAUGUGUUUCCCCUAGAUUUUGACUCUUUGUCCCUUUGCUGCCCAUCAUGCCAUCCUUUCCCUUGUGCUCAGUGAAUUCUCAUUUCUUCAGUGUCGACACAUUACCCUGUGUUCUCAAUCCUUUCCUGGUGGCUUGUUUGCAGGUAAAUGAAAGCUGAGAGUCAUCCAAAUUACUCAUUCUAAUCCACAUGUGCCACAGAACCAGAAUGUGUUAAUGGUGUCCUGGUUUUGGUGAGCACACUUUUUUAAAGUUAUUCUCCUACGUACCUAUAAUACAUAGCAUCAGAAUCAGUAAUCAACAUUGAUAGAAAUAUCUGCUCCACAGACCUUAUUCAGAUUGUCUCCAAAUGUCCUCUGUAGAUCCUGAAUUUGAUCCAGGAUUAGAUUUCAUGGUUCUUUUGUUAGUUUGCUUCAGUAUGGACAGUUCUUCAGCC
ensembl:lncRNA